GCCACAGUGACAUUUUCCAGCUGGCUGCUCACAAAGGUCAGGCUCCCACCUGAAGGCAAAAGCGGAGGGAGAUGCUCGUGUUGCCGUGGUCACUACUGAGAUCUGGCAUCUGCAACAGAUUUUCCCCACUUAAAGCAGUGCCACAACUUUCAGCCGUACAAACACAGCAGAUUGUGAAGUUGGAUGGAGAUAAAGAUGGAAAAGCUGGAUUUGUUCUCCUCUGAUCUGGGUCUGUGAUGUCACAGUAUCAAAUGGCAUGACCAAAGACCCCAAACAAGGGACAAGCCUCAGUGACAACAACAGCCAGUCGAGCAGCGCAGCAGCGAGGCUUCCUCUCUCUAAUGGUAUCCCACCAGCUGCACACAACACCAAUCCAUUACACCAAGCAUACUGUAACAUGCUAUAUUAAUGUAAAAAUGUCACUAUAUUCCAUUUUUUACACAUAAAAACAUGGCACAUCAUGCCUUGCUCCUCUGUUUCCUCUUAAUCUGCCCCUUUUGCUCCCUCCUGCCACAGUAUAUUACUGUCAUAAACACAUCCUUGGCUU